rnacentral:rRNA from 1 species
GUAUUCCGAGGGGCAUGCCUAUUCGAGCGUCAUUAUCCCCCCCUCCAAGCCUAGCUUGGUGUUGAGACCUGCUGUCAAGGCAGUCUCUAAAAUCAGUGGCAGUGCUGUCAGGCUCUAAGCGUAGUAAAUCCAUCGCUAUAGACACCUGGUGGCCACUCGCCAGAACCCCCCCAUUUUUUAAUGAUUGACCUCGGAUUAGGUAGGGAUACCCGCUGAACUUAAGCAUAUCAAUAAGCGGAGGAAAAGAAACCAACAGGGAUUGCCUCAGUAACGGCGAGUGAAGCGGCAAAAGCUCAAAUUUGAAAUCUGGCUCUUUUAGGGUCCGAGUUGUAAUUUGUAGAAGAUGUUUCGGGUGUGGCUCCGGUUUAAGUUCUUUGGAAUAUUACAUCAUAGAGGGUGAGAAUCCCGUAUGUGACCGGCAGCCUUCGCCUAUGUGAAACUCUUUCGACGAGUCGAGUUGUUUGGGAAUGCAGCUCAAAAUGGGAGGUAUAUUUCUUCUAAAGCUAAAUAUUGGCCAGAGACCGAUAGCGCACAAGUAGAGUGAUCGAAAGAUGAAAAGCACUUUGGAAAGAGAGUUAAACAGUACGUGAAAUUGUUGAAAGGGAAGCGCUUGCAACCAGACUUGCACGCAGUUGAUCAUCCGGUGUUCUCACCGGGGCACUCUGCUGCGUUCAGGCCAGCAUCGGUUUUGGUGGUUGGAUAAAGGCCUUGGGAAUGUGGCUUCCUUCGGGGAGUGUUAUAGCCCUCGGUGCAAUGCAGCCUACCGGGACCGAGGACCGCGCUUCGGCUAGGAUGC